rnacentral:lncRNA from 1 species
AUUCAAAAGGGAGGCAAAAAACGGACCUAGAAAAAGUUCUGCAUCCUGCUGAGGCCAAUGCCAUGCUCUCAUUUUCAAGGUCAAAGAGACAGGAUUGGAGAACUGACCAGUUUAAUAGACACUGCAGACUUGAUCUCUAAUAACAGAGAUCUAAUAACACCACUUCAUACUUCCACUAGAGGAUACACUGCUGUUCAAGAGCAUCUCUGUGGAGGAGGACAAGCUGGUGUCCUCCAGCUCUCUGGAAGUGAUGAGCACACAUUCAGCGGGUAAGUCCUGUUGGGUGGAAAGAGCUAAGUUGCAAUAGUUC